rnacentral:rRNA from 1 species
UACGAAGGGGGCUAGCGUUGCUCGGAAUCACUGGGCGUAAAGCGCACGUAGGCGGCUUUUUAAGUCAGAAGGUGAAAUCCUGGAGCUCAACUCCAGAACUGCCUUUGAUACUGGAGAGCUUGAGUCCGGGAGAGGUGAGUGGAACUGCGAGUGUAGAGGUGAAAUUCGUAGAUAUUCGGAAGAACACCAGUGGCGAAGGCGGCUGACUGGACAUGUAUUGACGCUGAGGUGCGAAAGCGUGGGGAGCAAACAGG